UAGGCACUGGACUAUAGCAGUAAACAAAGCUCAUCAUGUCUCUGCCCUCAAACUCUACAGUCCCGGGAAUGAGGAAAACUGAGGUCAGGUUCUGCAAAGUGGACCAGAGACUGUGCACAAGAAGAUGAUGCUCCAUGAACGGCUGGAACUGGAAACAGGAUAACUUGGAUAAUACACCCCAUCUCGGCACCUAUGAGAGUCUGACUCACUUCCUCUGUCCAGAGGAGAAACAAGGACUCCUUGGACAAAGCGUGUGCCUUUCACAGCCAACGAAUCAGGCAUCAGCAUUUCUCCGGGUUCUGUGAAGCUUAUUUAGUGACAUUCCCCAAAACCUUGCUCAGGUAAGUUCCUCCUUCCCUGACUUCAGGUACAGUCCGAGAUUCAUUUCAGUGA
rnacentral:lncRNA from 1 species